rnacentral:rRNA from 1 species
AUGAUGCAUGGAGGGCAUUGGCUAACCACAGUCGUGUUGGCUAACCACAGUCGUGUUGGUAUCGAUUUGCUAUGUUGUCUCAAGACUGCCCUGCCCCUUGUGUUAAGAGUAAAAAGAUGUGACGAACCCUUAAAGUUCUGGGAGGAGUCUGAUCCCAAAGACAACCUCCUCUCGUGCACCAACAUGAUGAAUUUCCGUGAGUUCGUGGGAGACCCAGGCGAGGUUGGCUUCCUGGAGUUCUUCGAGAUCGGGCGGGCGCCGGAGACCGCAUCUGUUUCCAUGGCCAAUCCAUGGAAACAAGGCAAGGAAAUCCUGGCAAAUGGUUGUCCUUGGCAGUGCAGAUUUUUCUUGCCGAGUCAUCAUUUCCUGAAAAUCUCAUGGUACCACGCAGCAAGCGGAGGUCAAAACAAGUCGGGGAUUCCAGCUUGCAUUCAUUCAGCAAAAAAUCUAAACUAA